UGGAGCCAUGCAGAACCUCAAUCUGCAUCCUGGGGACUCUGGAGAGAACCUGUGUAAUGGGGAAACGGCAGCUAAAGUAACAGUGUUGACAGAUCACUUCAACAUCCAGAGUACCACUGCUGUUAUGAAAACAGAUGUUGUUGGGAGAGAUAAGGACCUACAAAUGUUGUGGUGAUGAAAGCUGUCGUUGGACUAUGCGUCGUGUUGCUUUUGGCUGGAAUGCUGGGCCUUUUGCUGAUAGACUGAACAAACAUGUGAUACGAUCACCUUAUUUCCUAUAGUGAGAGGACACAAGCAGGAAGGAGCUCCAGACUAGGUGCUUGUCAAAUCUAGGGCCUUUCUCAUAUGGAAGACACUGAGGUUCAGUUUGCAUCUCUGGGUCGGCAGAACUGGAGGGAAAGAUCGAGGCUACAGGGAGACCUGCAUCACGUCAUCUAAUCCGCUGUGGUCACUGCUAGACCA